rnacentral:lncRNA from 1 species
AUGGCACAGGAUGAAGGUGAAAAGGAGAACCCCACGUGGGAACUUUGCAUUCACAAGCUCUGCCUCGACAUCUGUGUUGGGGAGAGUAGAGACUGAUCCCUGCAGCCAAAGCAUUGGAGCAGCUUGCAGCCCGGACCCUGUGUUUUCCAAAGCCAGAUACACUGUCAUAUUGUUUGACAUCCGGAAAAAUGAAAAGCCGAAAAUGCUGUCCGCUGCAUAGUUCAAGAGGCCAAAGCAGAAGAAAUCCUGGAGAAGGGUCUAGAGGUAUGGGAGUAUGAGUUGAGAAAAAAUAACUUCUCAGAUACUGGAAACUUUGAUUUUGGGAUCCAGGAACACAUCAAUCUGGGUAUCAAAUAUGACCCAAGUGUGGGUGUCUAUGGCCUGGACUUCUCUGCGGUGCUGAGUAGGCCGGGUUUCGGCAUCACAGACAAGAAGCACAGGACAGGCUGCACUGGGGCCAAACACAGAAUCAGCAAAGAGGAGACCAUGCACUGGCUCCAACAGAAGUGUGAUGGGAUCAUGCUUCCUUGCAAA